GACGAACGCUGGCGGCGUGCUUAACACAUGCAAGUCGAACGGAAAGGCCCUGCUUUUGUGGGGUGCUCGAGUGGCGAACGGGUGAGUAACACGUGAGUAACCUGCCCUUGUCUUUGGGAUAACUUCAGGAAACUGGGGCUAAUAUCGGAUAGGAGCUCCUGCUGCAUGGUGGGGGUUGGAAAGUUUCGGCGGUUGGGGAUGGACUCGCGGCUUAUCAGCUUGUUGGUGGGGUAGUGGCUUACCAAGGCUUUGACGGGUAGCCGGCCUGAGAGGGUGACCGGCCACAUUGGGACUGAGAGACGGCCCAGACUCCUACGGGAGGCAACAGUGGGGAAUAUUGCACAAUGGGCGGAAGCCUGAUGCAGCAACGCCGCGUGCGGGAUGACGGCCUUCGGGGUGUAAACCGCUUUCGCCUGUGACGAAGCGUGAGUGACGGUAAUGGGUAAAGAAGCACCGGCUAACUACGUG
rnacentral:rRNA from 1 species